GUUUUAAGUCCCUAUUUAAAUCAAAUUUUAUUUUUUAAUUUGCUUUUCUCUUUUAAAUAAGGCAAAAGAAAACAACCCCCUUUUUUCCAUUCAUUUGCUCUGCUAGGGUUUAUAAAACCCAUCAUCGCACCAUUACCAAACCGCCUUGGCUCACCGCGGACAGUGGUCGGAGCCACACCAAGACUGAAUUCAGUUUGUGAAAAAAAGAAGAAGAAGAAGCUACAAUGAGAAGGUUGUGGCUUUUAAAGUUAAGUUACAAGACUAUUCUUUUUCUUUUUUUGUCUUUUUGCUCUUGUUUCUUCUGCUACUUGCGUGUGCCUUUUGCUUGCAUAUUGCAGGUGGUUGUUAGAGGCGUGCGAUGCAGGUGAUAGGUGAGCCGAGUGGCGGUGGUGGCGCACAUGAGGGGCUGAGCGGCGGCUGCAAUGCUAGGGUUCCUUCACUUCUUUUUUUCUGCUGAAAAUGUUUUGGGUUAAUGGGGCUAGGGUUUAGGUUAUUUGGGCCUGUUGGGCUUGUUGGGUUUGGAUAGUUUAGGCCUGGAUUUAAUAUGUAAAUGGACACUUAUUUUGGGAUUGUUUUAUUAUUUGUUUGGGUUUUAUUAUUGUGGUCUAGGCCCGGGUCAAAAUUGGCCAUUACAGUGGGUACAUAACAAUGAAAAAUCAAUCCAUGCAUCAAAGUUCUAUCACGUUAUAUAA